GAACUGAACUGGGAACCAAUCAACAAGGGAAACCAGGAGAUGCAGUCCCUGAAGAUCAGCCUCAAGUAAGGCAGGGGAAGAGAAUACAUAGAUCUGUGGAGAAGAGUGGUGAUGGUGGGAGCUGCCAAUAAAGAACCACCAAAAAGGAUGAUGCACCACAAAAGCCAUCACCAGAUACCAGCACCUUAAUGUUGGACUUCUCAGCCUCCAGAACUAUAAUCCAGCUGCCGUGUCAUGAGGACAAUCAGAUGGCUUAUAAAGGGCCCCUGGGACAAGGAACUGAGGUAUUUUUCCAACAGCCAACAAGGAACCGAGGUCUGCCAACAACCAUGUGAGUGAGCACGGAAUUUUCUAGCUCCAGAUGACCGCGGCUUUGGCCAACAGCUUGUCUUGAGACACCCUGAGCCAGCACCACUCAGCUAAGCCACUUCCAGAUUCCUGCCCCUCAAAACUGUGUGACUUGUUGUUUUGAGAUGCUAAGUAUUACAGUAAUUCGGCAACAGAUAACAACUAUAUUCUGGAUACAAGUGUUUCUGAUAUGUAUGAUUUGCAAAUACAUU